GCACCGUCUAGAUGCUGAGGAGGCAGAAUUGAACAUUCCUUGUGGAAGAUACUGCUUUAGUGGAGAUCUCAAGCUCUCUUCCUGAAUGAUUACAUAGGGCUCCAGAGGAAGUCAGGGACCCCCAAAUGGAGAGACCAGCUGGAGCCGAGGCAGAAGAACAUAAAUUGUGAAGAUUUCAUGGGCAUUUAUCUGUUCCCAAAAUUAAUAGUUUUAUAAUUUCUUAUGCCUGUCUUUACUGCAGUCUCUGAACAUAAAUUGUGAAGAUUUCAUGGACAUUUAUCACUUCCCCAAACAAUACUCAUAAUUUCUUAUGCCUAUCUUUACUUUAAUCUCUUAAUCCUGUUAUCUUCAUAAGCUGAGAAUGUACGUCACCUCAGGACCACUAUGGUACAAACUGAUUGUAAAAUAUGUGUAUUUGAACAAUAUGAAAUCAGUGCACCCUGAAAAAGAACAGAAUAACAGCAAUUUUCAGGGAACAAGAGAGAUAACCAUAAGGUCUGACUGCCUGUGGGGUCAGGUAGAAUAGAGCCAUAUUUUUCUUCUUGCAGAGAGCCUAUAGAGGGAUAUGUGAGUAGGAGAAAUAUCACUGAAUUCUUUUUCCAGCAAGGAAUAUUAAUAAUUGAUAACUGUGGGGAAGGAAUGCAUUCCUGGGGGUAGGUCUGUAGACAGCCGCUCUGGAAGUGUCUGUCUUAUGUGGUUGAGAUAAGGACUGAAAUACGCCCUGGUCUCCUGCAGUACCCUCAGGCUUACUAUCAUCCUAGUAAGCCUGAUAAAUUCCAGCCUGGUAAAUUCUAAUCAGACCAGUUGUCUGCUCUUGAACCCUGCUUCCUGUUAACAUGUUUAUCAAGACAAUGUGUGCACAGCGGGACAUAGACCUUCAUCAGUAAUUCUAAUUUUGCCUUGCCUUGCGAUCUUUAUUGCCCUUUGAAGCAUAAGCAUAUGAUCCUUGUGACCUACUCCCUGUUCGUACCUCCCCUCCCCUUCUAAAAUCCCUA
rnacentral:lncRNA from 1 species